rnacentral:lncRNA from 1 species
AUGGCUCCCGCAAAGAAGGGUGGCAAGAAGAAGAAGGGCUGUUCUGCCAUCAACGAGGUGGUGACCCGAGAAUACACCAUCAACAUUCACAAGCGCAUCCAUCGAGUGGGCUUCAAGAAGCGUGCUCCUCGGGCACUCAAGAAAUUUGGAAGUUUGCCAUGAAGGAAAUGGGGACACCAGAUGUGCACAUUGACACCAGGCUCAAUAAAGCUGUCUGGGCCAAGGGAAUAAGGAACUUGCCAUAUCGCAUCCGAGUAUGCUUGCCCAGAAAACACAAUGAGGAUGAGCAUUCCCCAGACAAGCUCUACACGCUGGUAACUUAUGCGCCUGUUACCACAAUCAAAAAUGUACAGACGGUCAAUGUGGAUGAGAACUAA